CUGGCUGAGCACCGUGGGUCGGCGAGGGCCCGCCAAGGAAGGAGCGACCGACCGAGCCAGGCGCCCUCCGCAGACCUCCGCGCAGCGGCCGCGGGCGCGAGGGGAGGGGUCUGGAGCUCCCUCCGGCUGCCUGUCCCGCACCGGAGCCCGUGGGGUGGGGAGGUGUGCAGCCUGUGACAGACAGGGGCUUAGAGAUGCAAACAGACUCAGGGAGAGAAACAGAAGCUGAUUCUGUGACAGAAGCAGAUCUGUGCAGCACAGAUGCGGUGUGCGUGGGGAGGGGGUCGCCUGGGAGCGCAUUGCGGAGUGCUUGUGUGUGCAGAUUUUUCUCUGGGCUCAGGACUCAUUGUAUGUGGGUCAACACCUUCCUCCGUGACUGUGUUUUUGUUCUGAGCUGAGUUUUUUGGUUUGCCCUUAAAAAAAUAAUAAUUUGGCAUCCAGAGACUGGCAGACUGCCUCAGGGCCUGGACUGCGGAUAUAUUGUGUUCUGCUUGAGGUUUGGGGAGGAGGGCAGGCGGUAGGAAGGGAGAGGGGGAGCUGUUUGUCACACUUUGCUGUAGAGCUGAGAGCACCUGACAAGCUUAAGGAAGUCGUUGGGCUAUGUGGACAAGAAGGAGCCAGCUCCCAGCGGGUUCACAAGCUCUAUCGGAGUUGAAAGCGUGGUCAUGGCUCUAAGGAGCACCUCACGCCCUCCCUGUAGCUGUUAUUGCAGUUUCAGGCAGAGAUCCAGGAGCUGCAGAGGAAGGGAGAGGCACAAUAACCUACAUGGACCCAAGGGAGACAUGUGUUCCUUUAAAAAUGUGAACAGAAGGAAAAACAGAAUGUGUGCAACUGGGGGUCUGAGGAAAGACUGUUUUGAAAGAGGCUGUCAGGGAAUGGAAAGGGUUAAGCUUUUCAUCCUGAAGAACCUGCUUCCCAAAUCAGGCCUUCCUCCCAUCACUAGACCCUGAGCAGCAGCUGGUCCUAGAGACCCCCCUCGUACUGCGCUGCCACAGUCUCAUCCCAUUUCCAGCUCUGUAUUAACCACCAAGCUGCAGCGGAUGGGGCAAGACCUAAGCUCAUUAAUUUCCAGGUGGAGGAAAUGGAGGAGGGGCAGGUCCCUGCAGUAGAGGGAGGAGCAGAGAAAGGAGGCCAAGAGCUGGAUCCUUCUGCCCAGGAAGCCUGCUGCAUCCCUUCCCCCGAGCAUGGCAGAGGCCUGGCUUUGCAAGGCCAAGGCCAUAAGGGAUGCUUAGGAGAUUAAUUUGAUUCCUGACACAAUAAUCAAGCCCUAAGAGUCUCCACUGAAGCUUACUGAGGACUUCUUUCCUCUCCAAAGCCUCAGUCUAGCCUGCUAAAUAAAUUAGUAUUCAGUGAUGCCUUGGAUCAGGGCCCCUCCCCGGCCUCAGUUUCCCCAAAUAUUUAUUAAGUACCUACUGUGUGCAAUCCUUGUGUAAUUAUUAACUCUUAGGCUCUUCAUUUGCCCUCCUAAAGCAGUGUUUAGAGUCAGGCAGAGGUUAAGUGUGUUGCACCUCACCUAGAUACUUCCAGAACCUUCUCUGGGUCUGCAGAAUGUGGCACAACCUGCUUGCCCCCGCAGAGAGAAAGCUGCAGUGCACAUCCUGCAGACUGCAGGUGCUGGGCUGCCUCUGGAGUCCCAGAAGGCAAGCUUGGCUGCAGGACAGAAAGGGAGAACAGCUUCUCUCACCCCUGAGCCUUCACAAGCCCUUGUCUAUUUGCCGUUGCCUUCAAAAUAUACCUCCCCCGAAACCAGUAGCUUUCUGAGUCCUGGUGUCCCCUCCGCCCUUUCUGGACAGGUUUGGGAAGAAGAAAGCAGUCAGUGCUGGGCCUUAUUGGGGUGUGAAGCGCCUUGCUCUGCCCCUUCUGCUCACUGUGAAGGCCGCUGGAUGCUUCUCUUAGGCAUGGUUUAAGCCUCCGAUUACUAAACCCCUUGCCCCACAAACGUCCACAUUGACGAGCCUCUUUUUAGUAACUGCUUCCCCGUAAUUCCUUCAGAGGUUGCUGUACCCUUCGCUGAUGUGCUGCCCUCCUGUAAAACCUCCAGAUGCCUUCCCACGUAAUGCCCCUUUCAGAUGCUUUAAGCUGAGAGCUUAAACCACAGGUACCAUGGCUGACGCCUGCCAGGUUUCUGCUGCAGAUAAUCUAUGAUGGGAGGGGCAUAUUUUUUACUUCAUUACUUAUGUAAACUCUUGUUCCAGAAAGCUUUAAUGUGUGUGGGAGUGUUCUGGGUCUAUUAGGUCUGUGCGCAUGGGUGUGGGCAUUUGCCUGUGUCCACCGGGUGGGUCUCAUUAUGAAAUGUAUGUUUAUGUAGGGCUUUAAUGGCUGAAAAUGGCAAAGAGAUGAAUAGACCACUUGGCCCCAUGUGUAAUUGCCAGGCCCCUUCUGUGCUCAAAUGAGGUGUCCGAGUGAAGGUCAGCCCUUCCCUUCUGUAUUUGGGGCCUAUUUAUGCCACCAGUAAUUUUAUAAGAAAUCUGAAUAGUUCUCCCCUUUGAGUGCAUUUAACUCUUUAGUAUCUUCUCUCUUACCUAUUUGAGCCCCUCUAGCUACAGUCUGGCUUAAAUGAAAGGGGAAUUAUAUGCUUAAGAAAAAGUAGGACACGGUUGAGGCAGUUUGCUGACUGAAUACGCGAAGAAGGACCUGAUGGGCUCAUAUGCACCACUGCCAUCACAGUCCCCAUCGUGAUGCAAGCUUAUAUGAUUCUUGAGAAACAGCCCAGAUCUCCUCUUAAGCGGAAAAGAGAUUGACCUUCUAGCAGAGGCAAAGGUAAACUCCUGUAAGUUACUUCUGUUACCAAAGGGAGGGGGGCGGCUUUUGUGAAUGUAUGAGGAGCUUUUGCCAGAGAGAUAUUCGGAGGAGGGGUGUGCCCAUAUGCACACAUAUAUUUUCCCGCAUAACCGUAUCCAAUGCUAGCAUUUAGAGGAAGGCAUUUAGCCACCAAAAGUCCAUCCAUCUAUGCUGCUUCCACAGAGAAAACAUUUUCUCUUUCCUCCUCUUGAACUUACAUAAUAUCCUCCUCCCAUUCCAACCUUAGAAUGGAGUCUUCUGGGGGCAGCUGCAAAGCGUUCUCCCUAGGACAGAUGGAGCCUCCCUUUCCUCAUCUACUCUGUGGGUGGUUUCAGGGCCCACGAGUCAACAUGAGGAGUUGUGCUGGUGGUAUGUGUGUUGGAGGCUGGGCUGGCUGAUUCACAGUGACGAGGAUGUCAAUAAUAACAAGAAUGAGAAUGAUGGUACCUAAUAAAGACUUUUUUUCCCAAGUCCCAUCUACAAUUCUUUCAUUGGGUGUUUUGCCAAGUCUUUCUCAAUCUCAUCUCAGCUUUUUUUUUUUUUUUAAAGAAAAUGUAUUCAAUACUUAAUUGCAUCACAAAUGUAGACAUAGAAGAAAGGACUUCAAACGGAAUUUAUGGGAGGCAAUGUGUGCGGCUUUUUGCCUUAUAGAGCUGUGUAGAAGGUCUGGAAUGAUCUUCCAGCACCAAAUUUAGAUGGCCUCAAAAAAAAAAAAAAAAAAAAAAAAAUCAGGCCUUAUUGAGGGCAAGGAAUGUUCCAGGUCAGAAAUAAAAGUGUCAGCAACUCUCAAUAGGUUCAUCUUUUUAUUUCCUGUCCUUCUCCCUUUUGUCUUAAAAUAGAAACGCUACCAAGACCUGAGGGCCUGGGUCAGGGGCCGGGAAGCCCAGAAAACAAACUUCCAGAAUCACUAAGGGCUUUCUCUCUCAAAAUUACAGUGGGAGGGUUCUUUUGAAAUUCAAAUCCAACCUAUUUGUUGCUUAAGCACACACAAAAUACUGAGACCUGGGGUCCAAGAGGCAAUACUUCCGCUGCAAGUGCAUGUUGCAACUUCGCGUGAUGUUCCCAGGGCGGUUCUGCGGCAACUUGCGGCUCCGCGACUGUGGGCGCGGGCCCCAUUUCGGGCCCCGUCGGCCGGGACCGCGCCCAGGGCUUCUCAAGUGACUCGCUUCCCAGCACGCAAGAGGCAUUCUCGUCUCUUUCUCUUCGAAUGCACCCGAGACUUCUCCAUGAAGCAAGGAGAAGAUGAGCAGGCGCUGGUUUCCCUUUUCUUUUUUGCUCCCAUUUCCCAGUCUUGAUUUUUUUUUUCCCUUUCUCUCUCUCUCCCGAAUCAUGCAGACCUGGAACUCCUAAGAUUCGGGUCCUCCUGCAGUUCCCAAAGCUUUGGAUCCAUCCGAGGUGUGGGUAGAUGCGGGUUAGUCUCAGGGUCUUUCUAGGAUGAGCCCCAAGCCCAAGUUCUAAGGCGAGGGGGAGGCGAAGAGGUCAGGGCUACAAACGCCAGGGACUGUCCCCGGAGAGGUCAUUUUUCCAUUUUCCAUGCACAUCGAUUUCACUCUAGCGCCAGAUGGACACUCGACGGUCAACGUUAGAGAUUUUUCCGGAGUCGGGGGCAGGAAGCGGGACGAAUUGAGACGAGGGUACAUCCUUUGCUUCCAAGGGUGGCCGAGCCAGACCGAAGGCCUGGGCGGGAGGUCACGUCCUCCCCUGGCCACCCACAGCGCUCCCCAGCCGCAGGCCUGGGCCUAGAAGCCGCGCCCUCCCGGCCGUGCAGCCGGUCAGCCUGUGCGCCCGGCGCCCGCAGUGCGGCUCCGGGCCUCUCUCUGAUCCACUUCAGUACCUGCGGCCUCGAGGACCCCACCGUGCAUCCCGGAAAGCCUCAGAACUUGCAAGAAAGAGGGGCUGGCAGAAGCCAAAACCACAACAAAAAUCUUCAACCCACAAAGAAAAAGACACAUUCCUCCUUCGGCCUUAGUCAGCGUUAGUUCCAGAUCCGAAGCCGGAGGGGACGGAGCCGCUCGAAGUCGGUUGGAAGGAAGGCGCAGAAGGCUCUUUCUGUCUCCAUGAAUCUCCUUGCAAAUGCAACCGCUGCUGCCAUUAGGACGCGGUCUCUGUUUGCAAAAAAAACUCAAUUCCUUCCAUUUCCUCAUCUGUUGGGUCCAUCAGCGUGCAGUGAGUGAUGCAAGGUCCCUUUGGGUCAACAGGCCGUCCCCUGAAAUAACUUUCAGAGCCCUGGCCUCAAGGUCAUGGGCCGGGUGGCCUCUACAGGCCACAGGUCAGGACCAGGAUGUGCCUGACUGAGGCUGUGCCACCGAGAGCUUCGGACGUGCAGAAAGGUGCCCUGAGCUGCACGGGGGGCUUCUGUCAGCCCCCUCCCACUCUACACAGAUUGAUGUGGCAAUAUUUAUUCCCAUUUAAUUGAGACACUGGUUUAAUUUCAGAUUGCUUCGGCUUAAGGCCCAAUGGGGUUUUCUGCAGCUCUUUUCCCCAGUGCCUCUACAGAAAUUAAUUGCUGUUAAUAUCCAAUUUUGGCUUUAUUAUUCGUUAGCCAAUUAUGUAUCCCAUAGCCCAGGCCCCUUGCUGCUCUCAGCCUUUGCUGGAAUCAGCUCACACUAUGCCGGGCUUCUGCUUUUCUGCCUUCCCCUCUAUUCAAACUCUGUCCUCCCAAGAUGAUUUACCGGCCCGUCAGGCAUUUUGCUUGUGUCCCAGCGCUAGCUGAGCUGGCGGAGGUGUCUUUAAGACGUUUUCCCCCUUUUGAGGGAAAUGUCUUCUUUGCAGUGGACAUAAUUUCCAUUUAAAAAGGAAUCUAAGCUUCUCCACUCUCGCUUCACUAUCCUAAGAUUUGCUUUCUCUGGAGCCAUUUUUGGAGAGCAGUUUUCCAUCAAAAGCAAGCAAGGUGCCCCGGCAUCAGGGCUCCCCUCCCCACCUCCCUAGGAGCCCCUCCGAGACUGUCUUAAAGCCACCACAUAUACAUAACACCAUAGAUUCAAACAGGGUGCUUGGAGGAUGUCAUUCCACAUUUCAAGGAGGGAAACUUGAAAAAGCACUAUUUUCAGAGAUGAGGAGGGCAGCUCUCCCCUCGUCCCCCACAGAGGCCCUGGAAACCAUUCCAGCCUUGCACUGCGCAACCCUGCUUGAUGGAGCUGAUGCAACUGGGGGCGAGAGCCUUUAAAAAGUGUUCUUUUGCCUUGGUUUUUUGUGCCUUGAGUUCACAGAAGCAAACACUUCCCAUCACUGGUGCUCUGGAAACAGAAACAUACAAGUGAGAAUCCUAACGACAGCAGAGGCCCUUCUUUGUCUGCUUCCUCUCCUUCCCCCCUUGGAAAGAAUGCCUCCCAUGCCUUAAUGUGCCCUCACACUUAUCUCUAGCAGUUCCGUAACAACCUGCGCAGUGUCGGCAUCAGAACCGAAUGCAGAGAAAACAAAACGUCAGAGCCGCUGGCUUGGACUGCGGCCCCUACAGAUGAAGCCCGAGCCUUCUACUCCUACCUCAGCAUCUUGCCGCCUUCAUGUGGACAAUUAAUCAACAGCAACAGCAUAGUGUGAAGUAGAGAUAGAGUCUUGAUAUGUUCCCCAGGCUGCUCUGGAAUUCUUGGACUCAAGCAAUCCUCCUGACUUGGCCUCCCAAAGUGCUGGGAUUACAGGCUCCUAUUCCAAAUCGGAUGAAGCACUGAAAACAAAGCACUUUCACAUCCUUCACCCUGAUCUGUAGCAUAUUCUUCAGAACUCUUAUGAUUUCAAGUGACAGAAACCCAAUCUGAACCAGCUGAAACACUCAGAGGCAUUUAGUAUCUCAUGGAACCCAGUGCCCCAGGGACAGGCGGAAACGCUGACUUGAACAUCUCUUUCUGAGUUUCUCAUCUCAGCGCCUCUCUGCAGAUGUUGAAAUCUUCUUUUUUUCUGCUAACUGGCCUCUGCUUCCCAGGUUCACAGCAAGAAACAUGGCCAUUGGGAUGUCCCAAGCUUUGCAUUUUAUAGCCCAGCUUAGGUCAGGUGGCCACCCCUGUGCCAGUCAACUUGACCGAAUGGAUGGAAAACCUCAACUGAUCAAGCUGGAGUUAAGUGCAUGCAGGGAGCACCUAUGGUAACUGCGGAUGGCAGGGAGGGCAGCCACCUAGAAAAAGGUACUGCUGGCCAGGUAAGACCACAGGUAUCCACAACUACCACCAAUCUGCUGUGAACAGUUCCUCUGAAGUUGUGCAAUAAGCAAGCCGUGUGAUGCUGGUCUUGGUAGAAUAUCUUAUUUCUAAACUCCAAACCAUCAGAUUGGCCUCUACCUCCCCAUUUGCCCUCCUCAGAAGAUCUUGACACCCAAGUUCACCCCAUCCUCUGGAGUCCUGUGGUUUGAAAUACUGACCAUUUGUCCCAAUCCUGGAGCCAAGGUCCCAGCAUGCUCUGUGUCCAAGUUCAGAUUACCACAAAAGCUGGUUGUGAAGACCACAAGUUGUUACCUAUUUGUUUUUUAACCAGUUGUAUAUACAACAUUUGGUGCUUUUCACAACACCACACUACCUCUGUCUUACUGUACUGUUUCUCUCCCUAGCAAGCUACCAACAUUUCCUCUCUCCUCCCUAAAACAUGAAAAAAGGAGAGAGAGAGAGAGAGAGAGACGCAGGUAAUGCCUAUACUCUCAUCUCCUAAGGGGUCCUUGAGACAAUGGAUUCCAAAGAGCAGUUUGGAACAUGAAGAAAACCCCAAUGGGGAGGCCCUGCUCCCAAGUCUCACUAAUUCUGGAUUUAAUUCUCCCCUGUGGGCCAGGUGGUGAAUUAGUGGCCCUCCCACCCUACCUUCUGUUUUCUAUGAUCUCGUCUCAUCUAAUAAAGGCUCCAGAUCUGAAAGUCUCUGAGACCAGAACCUUAGUCCAAUUAAACCCUGCUAAAGCAAACAAACUUGGGAAAGACAAAGAGGUGAAGAGGUUAACAGCAGACAAAACCUCCACUGACAAGCUAAAUUAGCCUUGCCCACCUCAGGAGAAGGUGUAAGGUGGACAGCGGAGACUGCUGGUAGUGAUUAACAUUUGCUCGAAAUUCUAAGGAGCUAAUUUUUUUUCCAAGUUAAAUGUUAACCUGUGAAAAGAGGAACAGUAACUAUGCGAAGAGGAAUGUGAAGAAGAAAACAGAAAGACCAGCCUGCUGGGUGGAUGUCUUCCUCCCAAAGUAGUCGAGACCAGGGAUUCUGAGGAAUAGUUUUCCAUUUAUCCUUCAUCAUCUCCAUUCAACAGGGCCGCUGAGCUCCAGAUGAGCAUGGAAAGAUGGAGGAGCUGCCAAACCUGACUUUGGAGGCCCUGGUCAGGAGCCCGUUGGAGGCCUUCCAGUUUUACACCCUUUGUGAAUUUGUCCGUGGGGUGGGUUUGUUCUGAUGCCAUGAGUAGCUUCCACUGGAAAAGGCACCAUCUCCACCCAACAUUUUAGGUAUGCUGGUGCAUUGGGAGGACAUUCUUGGUGCCAAUAAUCGUCUGAAGAUUCUUUGCUAUCCUUUGGUAGAGGCUCUAUUUACCACAAUGAAGAGUAGAAAGAUUAUGAUGUGAGUGUGUUUUGGUGUGUGUGUGUGUGUGUGUGUAUGUGUGUGACUAUUAGUGAAAACUGCUAGUAGUAUGUCAGUGUGGAGAGAAAUUCAGUCCUCCCGCAAGUGGUGAGGCUCAAUAUUAAGGGACAGAACAUCAGUGAGCACCACAUUAAGGCACUAUUCUCGACAUCUGGGAAGAAGCAAAGAAAAAUGUGUCAUGCCUCUUACCUUUUAGGGACUUAUAAUACAGGAAAGAGAAGACUUGUAUAAAUGGCUAAAAAUAUACUGAGGAGUAUAACUAAUAACUAAUGCAGAGUGUGCUGGUAAAAGGUUGUGUGGGUUCAGGAAUGUCAAAAGUUGCAGCUGCUGUGAAAGCCAAUAUGGCGGGUCCUCAAAAAAUUAAAUGUAGAAUUACCAUAUGACUCGGCAACUCCACUUCCGGGUAUGUUCUUAAAACGAUUGAAAGCAGAGACUCAGACAGAUAAUUGCACACCCAUGUUCACAGCAGCAUUAUUCACAAUCGCCAAAAUGUGGAAGCAACCCAAGUGUCCACUGGCCAAUGAAUGAAUGAGUAAAACAUGCUAUGUAUCAACAGUAGAAUAUUAUUCAACCUUAAAAGGAAACAAAUUCUGGUACGUGUUACAACAUAGAUGAACCUUGAGUGGAAGAAGAAAACAGAAAGAGCAGUCCGCUGGGUGGAUGUCUUCUUCCCAAAGUAGUUGGGAUCAGGAAUGCUGAGAAACAAUUCCCCAUUCAUCCUUCAACAUCUCCAUUCAACAGGGCCACUGAGCUCCAGGAUGAGCAUGGAAGGAUGGAGGAGCUGCCAAGCUUGACCUUGGGGACCCAGGUCAGGAGCCUUCUGGAGACCUUCCAGUUUUAUGCCCUUCGUGAAUUUGUUUGUGGGAUGAACUCUAUGAAGUGAACUAAACCAAUCACACACAAAAAAUAAA
rnacentral:lncRNA from 1 species